ACUGGAUUAGAUACCCCACUAUGCUUAGUCAUAAACCAAGAUAAUUAUCCAACAAAAUUAUUCGCCAGAGUACUACUAGCAAUAGCUUAAAACUCAAAGGACUUGGCGGUGCUUUAUACCCCCCUAGAGGAGCCUGUUCCGUAAUCGAUAAACCCCGAUAAACCUUACCAUCCCUUGCCAAUACAGCCUAUAUACCGCCAUCUUCAGCAAACCCUAAAAAGGAACCAAAGUAAGCACAAAUAUAAGACAUAAAAAAGUUAGGUCAAGGUGUAGCCUAUGGGAUGGAGAGAAAUGGGCUACAUUUUCUACCCAAGAACAACACAACUCGUCACACGAAAGUUUUUAUGAAAUUAAAAACUAAAGGAGGAUUUAGUAGUAAAUUAAGAGUAGAGAGCUUAAUUGAACUAGGCCAUAAGGCACGCACAC
rnacentral:rRNA from 1 species